rnacentral:lncRNA from 1 species
ACUAUGAGAUUAGGCUGUAAAGACUGUGUCUUCAGUCUUGGGCACUGUCUCUCACUUUUGCCCCCCUCUUUUAUCUUUCGUGCUGGGAAGUGAGCUGCCAUGCUGUGAACAGCCAGCCCUGUGAAGAGGACCACAGCCAGUAAGGAACCGAAGCCUGGCAACAACCAUGUGAGUGAGCUUGGAAGAGGAUUCCUCCUGCAGUUGUGCCUUCCGGUGAGAUAGCAGCACUGGACCACAAUCUCAUGAGAGAUCUUGAGCCAGAGGCACACAGCUAAGCCACGCCCAGAUUCCUGACCCACAGGAACUGUGAGAUGACAACUGCUGUUUUAAGUGUGCUGGACCAGUCAAAGAAUCCUGCGUCAAAAUCGAGAGAACGAACAAGCCUUCAUCGCCAUGGCACAUUUAUAUAAAAAGAAAGGGAGAGAUGUUGCAGGAAGUCAGAGACCCCAAACAGAAGGACCGGCUGAAACCAUGGCAGAAAAACGUGGAUUGUGAAGAGUUUAUAGACAUUUAUUAGUUCCCCAAAUUAAUACUUUUGUAAUUUCUUAUGCCUGUCUUUACUGCAAUCUCUAAACAUAAAUUGUAAAGAUUUCAUAGACACUUAUCACUUCCCCAAUCAAUACCCUUGUGAUUUCCUAUGCCUGUCUUUAAUCUCUUAAUCCUGUCAGCCUAAGGCUAUGUCACCUUAGGACCCUGUAAUAAUUGCAUUAACUGCACAAAUUGUACAGCAUGUGUGUUUGAGCAACAUGAAAUGUAGGCACCUUGAAAAAAGAACAGGAUAACAGCAAUUGUUCAAGGAAUACGAGAGAUAACCUUAAACUCUGACUGCUGGAGAGCCAGGCAGAACAGAGCCAUAUUUCUCUUCUUUCAAAAGCAAAUGGGAGAAAUAUCGCUGAAUUCUUUUUCUCAGCAUGGAACGUCCCUGAGAAAGAGAAUGCGCACCUAGGAGUAAGUCUUUGAACUGGCCCCCGCCCACCCCGAGGCGUACCUGUCUCUUAUGGUCAAGAUUGCAGAGGUAAGAUAGACUCCAGUCUCCCAUAGCACUCCCAGGCUUAUUAGGAAGAGGAAAUUCCCGCCUAAUAGAUUUUAGUCAGACCAGUUGAUCUCAAAACCCUGUCUCCUGAUAAGAUGUUAUCAAUGACAAUAGUGCCUGAAACUUCAUUAGCAAUUUUAAUUUCGCCUCAGUCCUGUGGUCCUGUGAUCUCGCCCUGCCUCCACUUGCCUUGUAAUAUUCUAUUACCCUGUUAAGUACUUGAUGUCUGUCACCCACACCUAUUCGCAUACUCCCUCCCCUUUUGAAAAUCCCUAAUAAAAACUUGCUAGUUUUUGUGGCUCGAAAGGCAUCAC